rnacentral:rRNA from 1 species
CCUACGGGAGGCAGCAGUGAGGAAUAUUGGUCAAUGGGCGCGAGCCUGAACCAGCCAAGUCGCGUGAGGGAAGACGGUCCUAUGGAUUGUAAACCUCUUUUGUCGGGGAGCAAAAGACGCCACGCGUGGCGUUCCGAGAGUACCCGAAGAAAAAGCAUCGGCUAACUCCGUGCCAGCAGCCGCGGUAAUACGGAGGAUGCGAGCGUUAUCCGGAUUUAUUGGGGUUAAAGGGUGCGCAGGCGGAAGAGCAAGUCAGCGGUAAAAUUGAGAGGCUCAACCUCGUCGAGCCGUUGAAACUGGUUGUCUUGAGUGAGUGAGAAGUAUGCGGAAUGCGUGGUGUAGCGGUGAAAUGCAUAGAUAUCACGCAGAACACCGAUUGCGAAGGCAGCAUACCGGCGCUCAACUGACGCUCAUGCACGAAAGUGUGGGUAUCGAACAGGAUUAGAUACCCUGGUAGUC